GAUACCCUGGGUAGUCCACGCAGUAAACGAUGAAUGUCAGCUGUCCGGGACUUCGGUCCUGGGUGGCACAGCGAAAGCGUUAAACAUUCCACCUGGGGAGUACGCCGGCAACGGUGAAACUCAAAGGAAUUGACGGGGGCCCGCACAAGCGGAGGAACAUGUGGUUUAAUUCGAUGAUACGCGAGGAACCUUACCCGGGCUCAAACGCCGUCUGACGUAGGCUGAAAGGCUUAUUUCUUCGGACAGACGGCGAGGUGCUGCAUGGUUGUCGUCAGCUCGUGCCGUGAGGUGUCGGCUUAAGUGCCAUAACGAGCGCAACCCCUGUCGACAGUUGCUAACAGGUUAGGCUGAGGACUCUGUCGAGACUGCCGGCGCAAGCUGUGAGGAAGGCGGGGAUGACGUCAAAUCAGCACGGCCCUUACGUCCGGGGCGACACACGUGUUACAAUGGCAGGUACAGCGGGAAGCCACCCGGCGACGGGGCGCGGAACCCGAAAACCUGUCUCAGUUCGGAUUGGAGUCUGCAACCCGACUCCAUGAAGCUGGAUUCGCUAGUAAUCGCGCAUCAGCCACGGCGCGGUGAAUACGUUCCCGGGCCUUGUACACACCGCCCGUUAAGCCAUGGGAGCCGGGAGUGCCUGAAGUGCGUGAGCGCGAGCAGCGCCCUAGGGUAAAACCGGUGACUGGGGCUAAGUCGUAACAAGGUACC
rnacentral:rRNA from 1 species